rnacentral:misc_RNA from 1 species
AACUUUCGACAAUGGAUCACUUGGCUCUCGCACCGAUGAAGAACGCAGCGAAAUGCGAUAAGUAAUGUGAAUUGCAGAAUUCAGUGAAUCAUCGAAUCUUUGAACGCACCUUGCACCCUUUGGCAUUCCAAAGGGUAUGCCUGUUUGAGUAUCAUGAAAUUCUCAACUCUCCUCAGAUUCCAUCUGUAGGGUGAGCUUGGACUUGGAGGUUUCUGCUGGCGUUCGCUGGCUCCUCUUGAAAUCAUUAGCUUUGAGUUGAUCUUGAUGGCUCGACCGGUGUGAUAAACAUCUACGCCGAUUUGUGCUGUCCUGAGCGACGACGUCGGAGACGCUCUGGCUUAUAACCGUCUUUCACUGAAGGACAACACCCUGAACUUUUGAUCUCAAAUCAGGUAAGACUACCCGCUGAACUUAAGCAUAUCAAUAAGCGGAGGCU